GUGUACAAGGCACGGUUGCGGCCGAAUCCCAAAGAAUAUAUAUAUCAUACUUUCAGAACAAUAGUAAACCAGAUGCUGAAUAUAUUCUAGAUGGUUGGGAGGAAUUUAGUAGAACCAUGUUCUGGUUAGCCAUAAUUGGUGGCAGUUUAAUAUUGCUGCAUGCUUUACUCCUUGCCAUCCUAAAAUUCAAGAAGCAAAAGCAGAGGGGUUAUGGACUACUCACAUUCCCAAGAUUUAAAACAUUCCUUGUAAAUCUUGCACUACCUAGUAUUUGUGAGGCCUCUGUUGCUCUAAUUAGAGGUAACUUGACAGUUUGUUUACUUCCCUACAAAUGAAUCCUUAUCGAUGCAUUUAUCAUGCAAAAUUUAAGUUUCGAAAGAUAAUUAUGUUG